AUCAGCGAGAAGGAUCAUCCGAUACCAUGGGAGGGUUGGCGGGAUGAUUCAUCGUUAGCUAUCUUGAUGCCUCGACUCCGAGUUUUUGCAGGUUUCCUGCAAGACCGGGCGUGAUAUGAAGAAU
rnacentral:sRNA from 1 species